rnacentral:rRNA from 1 species
UACGUAGGUGGCAAGCGUUGUCCGGAAUUAUUGGGCGUAAAGCGCGCGCAGGUGGUUUCUUAAGUCUGAUGUGAAAGCCCACGGCUCAACCGUGGAGGGUCAUUGGAAACUGGGGAACUUGAGUGCAGGAGAGAAGAGUGGAAUUCCACGUGUAGCGGUGAAAUGCGUAGAGAUGUGGAGGAACACCGGUGGCGAAGGCGACUCUUUGGCCUGUAACUGACACUUGAGGAGCGAAAGCGUGGGGAGCGAACAGG